AUGAAGCAAUACCGCACUAUGGAUCCGAAGCCUCUCGAAGGAUAAUAUAGGCACUCUUUACCCUACUCCGACUCAAUACUUCCACGUCGUACAGAACGGUAACAUAUCUCUCCAAGUAUCUGAGCUUGGAUAUACGGGGAAUCCUAACCCCUGUGGAAGUUGGGUUAUAUGGCUAAAUUGAACGAA
rnacentral:ribozyme from 1 species